rnacentral:lncRNA from 1 species
GGGCUCGAAAAAGCCUGGGGUUGGCUGCAAGACACUCGGAUUAGAGACACAGCCAGCCUCCCGGGAGGUCUGAACUUAGCACUCCGCAGCAGAGGCAGCGCGCAGCACGGCCGCCCGGGGCAUCCCCGUGGCUGGGGGCGGAAGGCGAGGGCGGUGGCAGGAAAGGUCCGCCAGGCCGGAGCUGGCUCCCCCACCGCCGGCCGCCGGCUCGGAGGCCGGAGCUGUGCGGGCGGAAAGGGGCGGAGCCGUGGGCUCUGGUUGGUGUGGGCUCGGGGGCGGGGCGCGCGGGGCCGGGCCGGAGGCGGGGCCAGCGCCGGGCGCUGGAGCUGCGGGCGCACGGAGAGGAGUCGCGAGCAGCUGGAGCGGAGUUGGAGGAAGCAGUGGCCGCGGCGAGGGCGGCAGGCUAGCGGUCGGAGACGGCGAGCACAGAUCGGGCACGGCCGGCGGGUCGCAGCCGGGCUGGAGGCGCGUCGGAACCGAGCGGGCAGGAGGCCGCCGCUGCAGCGCGGGCCCCGCAGAGGAAGGAAGCCGGCAGGCGGGGGAGGUAGGCAGCGGUGGCCCCGGGUGUGUGUGCUCGGGCGGGGGAGGCGGUGCAUGUGUGCGCGGCUGCCGCGGCUCUCUUCCUGUCACUGGCAGCCGCUUCUCCUUCUGCAGAGCCCCAACGGGGGGAAGCUGGCCGGCCACUGGCCCUCCCCGCCUCCGGCAUCUCCUGGCCACCGGACAGCACUCCCCCCUCGCGCUGCCGGCGUCCUGCGAGAUCCCGGCCAUCCUGGCUCCCGUUUCCCCUGUCCUCCUGUGAGCUGGUUCUGCACGCCGCCGGUCGCAUUUGCCCCCGGAGUUGCCGGCGAGCUCGGGCUUCCCCCAACCCUCCAUCAUCGCACACUUCCGAGGGUCCCUGCUGUCGCCUUGCUGCAGUUUUCCGCGGCCCCUCACCGGAGGAGAGCGCCCUGGCCGCUGCCUUCGUGUUGCGGGAAGGAGCGCUCCCUUCGCCCGUGGUCCUCCAGCUGCACCCAGGGUCGCUGCCCCGGCCCUUCCCGGGGCGGGAGAGGCGGCGGUGGUCCGCAGAGCUAG